AGUGAACGCUGGCGGUAGGCCUAACACAUGCAAGUCGAACGGCAGCACAGUAAGAGCUUGCUCUUACGGGUGGCGAGUGGCGGACGGGUGAGGAAUACAUCGGAAUCUACUUUUUCGUGGGGGAUAACGUAGGGAAACUUACGCUAAUACCGCAUACGACCUCCGGGUGAAAGCAGGGGAUCUUCGGACCUUGCGCGAUUGAAUGAGCCGAUGUCGGAUUAGCUAGUUGGCGGGGUAAAGGCCCACCAAGGCGACGAUCCGUAGCUGGUCUGAGAGGAUGAUCAGCCACACUGGAACUGAGACACGGUCCAGACUCCUACGGGAGGCAGCAGUGGGGAAUAUUGGACAAUGGGCGCAAGCCUGAUCCAGACAUACCGCGUGGGUGAAGAAGGCCUUCGGGUUGUAAAGCCCUUUUGUUGGGAAAGAAAAGCAGCAGGUUAAUACCCCGCUGUUCUGACGGUACCCAAAGAAUAAGCACCGGCUAACUUCGUG
rnacentral:rRNA from 1 species